AGGGGCAGGCUGGGAAGCGGCGCCAUAUUGGCGUCGGCCGCGCUGUAUUGUCAUAAAUAGAGCCGGUUUUGUGGUGUUUUCACUACUCGGUUGGAUGCCUCGGCUGUAGUAAGUGAGAGAGUGAGCGUGCAAGCGAGUUACAAGCAAGCGGAGGAAACUGGACAGGAGGAGAAGGGAAGAGCAAGAACAGGACUCCAGAGCGAAAGACAACUCGCCGGUGAGGGAGACGCAGGAAGCGAUGAAAGAGAUGUCUGCAAACACCAUGCUGGACAGCCAGCGUCAACAAAAGCAUUAUGGAAUCACCUCUCCAAUUAGCUUGGCGUGUCCUAAAGAAAUUGAUCAUAUUUACACACAGAAAUUAAUUGAUGCCAUGAAACCAUUUGGAGUGUUUGAAGAUGAGGAAGAAUUGAACCAUAGGCUGGUUGUUCUUGGUAAACUGAACAAUCUAGUAAAAGAAUGGAUUUCUGAGGUCAGUGAGAGUAAGAAUCUUCCACCUUCUGUUGUGGCUACUGUUGGUGGAAAGAUUUUUACUUUUGGCUCCUAUAGACUUGGAGUACACACCAAAGGAGCUGACAUUGAUGCACUUUGUGUAGCCCCAAGACAUGUGGAGAGAUCUGAUUUUUUUCAGUCUUUUUUUGAAAAGUUGAAACAUCAAGAUGGCAUUAGAAACUUAAGAGCUGUAGAAGAUGCCUUUGUGCCUGUUAUAAAAUUUGAAUUUGAUGGAAUUGAAAUUGAUUUAGUCUUUGCAAGAUUGGCAAUACAGACCAUAUCAGAAAAUUUAGAUCUAAGAGAUGACUCUCGACUGAGAAGCCUUGAUAUAAGGUGUAUUCGCAGCCUAAAUGGAUGUAGAGUUACUGAUGAAAUUUUGCAUUUAGUGCCAAAUAAAGAAACUUUCAGACUCACCCUAAGAGCAGUUAAACUAUGGGCAAAACGACGUGGUAUUUAUUCCAACAUGCUGGGAUUCCUUGGUGGUGUCUCCUGGGCAAUGCUGGUUGCAAGAACUUGCCAGUUAUAUCCAAAUGCAGCAGCUUCUACUUUAGUUCAUAAGUUCUUCUUAGUUUUUUCCAAAUGGGAAUGGCCAAAUCCUGUGCUACUGAAGCAACCAGAAGAAAGCAAUUUGAAUUUGCCAGUUUGGGAUCCUCGGGUAAAUCCAUCAGAUAGGUAUCAUCUCAUGCCCAUAAUCACCCCUGCCUACCCACAACAGAAUUCUACGUAUAAUGUGUCCACAUCAACUCGAACAGUAAUGGUAGAAGAAUUUAAACAAGGUCUUGCAGUCACAGAUGAAAUUCUUCAGGGGAAGUCAGAUUGGUCCAAACUACUUGAGCCACCAAAUUUUUUCCAAAAGUAUAGACAUUAUAUAGUAUUGACUGCCAGUGCAUCAACAGAAGAAAAUCAUCUAGAGUGGGUUGGGUUAGUAGAAUCUAAAAUACGUGUACUUGUGGGAAAUUUGGAACGGAAUGAAUUUAUUACUCUUGCCCAUGUAAAUCCCCAGUCAUUCCCAGGAAAUAAGGAACAUCAUAAAGACAACAAUUAUGUAUCAAUGUGGUUCCUUGGAAUAAUUUUUCGGAGAGUAGAAAAUGCAGAAAGUGUUAAUAUAGACUUGACAUACGAUAUACAGUCAUUUACUGAUACAGUGUACAGACAGGCAAACAAUAUAAACAUGCUAAAGGAGGGAAUGAAAAUUGAAGCAACUCAUGUUAAAAAAAAACAACUUCAUCACUACCUGCCUGCAGAAAUUCUUCAGAAGAAGAAAAAGCAAAGUCUAUCUGAUGUCACCCGAAGUUCAAGUGGACCUCAAUCCAAAAGAUCAUCUCUGGAUAGCAAUUGUUUGGACAGCUCCAGAGACACUGAUAAUGAAACACCUUUUAAUUCCCCAGUGUCUGCAAACAAGCCUUCCAAGCCUGAUAUUCCUCCUUCGGGGGAGACAGAGAGGAAUAAUGCUGAGCCUGCUGCUGUAAUCGUGGAAAAGCCACUGAGUGUCCCGCCAGCUCAAGGGCUAUCUAUUCCUGUCAUUGGUGCAAAAGUCGAUUCUGCAUUAAAAGCUGUAUCACCCCCAGCUGUGUGUACCAUUCCUACGGUAGUAGGACGAAAUGUCAUUCCUAGGGUCACACCUCACAACCCUGUCCAGGGGCAGCCACAUCUGAAUGGGAUGUCAAAUGUAACUAAGAAUGUUACGCCUAAAAGACCCCACUCCCCGUCCGUAGAUGGGUCCUCUAAGAGGUUGAAAGACAUAGAAAAGUUUAUUCGACUUGAAUCAACAUUUAAGGAAUCACGUGCUGCUGAAGACAGAAAAAGAAAAUCAGUGGAUGCCAUUGGAGGAGAAUGUAUGCCUAUUCCAACUAUUGAUACAUCACGCAAAAAGAGACUGCCCAGCAAAGAACUACCAGAUUCAUCAUCUCCAGUUCCAGCAAAUAACAUCCGUGUCAUCAAAAAUUCCAUUCGGCUGACCCUAAAUCGAUCUUUAAGUAGGGGAGAUCACAAUAUGUAGAAUCAAAAGAACUAGGGUUUGAGUCCUGAUUCUAUCCAAACUGUUUCAGCUUCCUGCCCUUGGGCACAGAGAAGUGAAGACGAACAGUGUCAAAAUGGGCUAAACUUAUUUUCCACGGUGUCCACCACUUGAAAAUAGGAACUCCCAACUUGCAAGAUCAUGGACUGUAGGGAAUCCCUUGCAAAUAUAUAUAAGAAGUUUCUGUUCAUAUGCAUAUUUCUGAGGGGAAGUUCAUACUUUCAUCAGUUCUCAAAAUGGUUCAUGACACUAAGAAAAAAAAAGUUAGGGACCACAGCUUUACAGGAUUGAAUAAUCCCAAACUUUGGAAUUUUCUUAAGAUUUUUCUGUGGUAUAUUUCUGAAAAUGUACUGUGGCUCUUAACUAGUAAAGUGGGCUAAUGAAAGACUCUGGAAUACUAAAUUUCUCUUUUCAAGUUUUCUUUAUAUAUCUCAGAUGAAACUUUAUCAGUAUUUAGAAAAAGCUUUAUGAUUGGAUUUAUAAAUGUCUUCAUGUUAACUUCAAUUCAUUUAACAGGGUCAAACCAACAAAUUUCAGCGUAGGAAUGAUCAGAGUAGAAUAGCUUAGAAUAAUCAUUAGAAAUGGUAAAAAGCAGAAUUAAUCAUUAAAGAUCCUAAAAAAAUAAUAAUUAAAGAUUCUAAUCCUUUGAUUUGGUAGCCUUAAAUUUCUUAUUCCUCCAUGUUUGUGGUUCAGACUGAACAGACCAAUAAAUAGAACUUUAGUGUAAAAAAAUUUUUUUAAUAAAUAAAAUUAUAUGAGUGCAUAAAUAACUACCUAUUAAACCUUCCAAAGCUUGGAAUUUAAGUCAUGAUAAUAGUGAUGAAUAUAGUGCAAGCAAUAGAAAAAAGCCAGUCUCAAAAAUGGUAACUAUUUCCUUAGGAUUUUUUAAAAGAAUUGUACGAGGUCAGAGCCUUCCCAGAUUUCCUAUUUUUUUCUGGAGUUUUAUAUUUGAAGUUAGUUGAACAUAAGAUUAUCAUCAGGCUUGCUCUAAUUUUUUAAUGUAUUGCUGCAUUUUUAGCAAGGACCCAAGUAAUUACCUUAAAAAGUACUUAGGAUAUAUUUGAGGUAAAUGGUGCUACAUCACUUCACAGUAUUAAUGUAAAAUGAAUGCAGCUGCUGCUCCUUUCUAGUUAGCUGUUUGUGUAAUUCAUAUUAAUUUUCCUGCUUUUUAUUUGGAUUGUCUUAAUUUCUUAGUUGUACACACAAGCCUCAUUAUCUGUCUGGAAUAAGUAAUAUAAUAAACUUGCUUUGAUAAAUAGGUA